rnacentral:rRNA from 1 species
UACGGAGGUGGCAAGCGUUGUUCGGAAUUACUGGGCGUAAAGGGCGCGUAGGCGGCAUGGCAAGUCAGGUGUGAAAGCCCCGGGCUUAACUCGGGAACUGCAUCUGAAACUGCUGUGCUUGAGUCCUGGAGGGGGUAGUGGAAUUCCCAGUGUAGCGGUGAAAUGCGUAGAUAUUGGGAGGAACACCGGUGGCGAAGGCGGCUACCUGGACAGUGACUGACGCUGAGGCGCGAAAGCUAGGGGAGCGAACGGG